CACGACUGAGCAACUAACACUUUCCACCUCUGGUAACUACAAAUCAGGUUCUCAGUCUCUUCAUGAUGAAGAGCUUCCCUCCACAGAAUGUAAGAAAAUCACAGGAUUUGGCCCUUGAUAGGGGGAGAAGAGAAACUUUGGGUUGUCACGGAGCACUGGCUUUGGGUUUGCAGGCAGAUUCUUUACCACUGGGCCACGGAGAAGCCCUCAAUAUAGUAAAUGCUCAGGAAACAGCGUCAUUAUUAUUGCCAUAAUCAUCUGGGUGAGCUGACCCAGGUCACACAGGAACCAAGCAGAGAAGCCAGGACUGGACUCCAAGCCUCCAGUGCCCUGCCGCACCCACUAAGAUCCUGUCAGCUAGCAAUGGAGUUUCCAGAAUAGAUGCUGAAGACUGGACAAAAAAUUAAUAGCAUGUUGUGCAACUGACUAACAUCAGGGUAGUGAUUUAAAAAAAAAAAAAAAAAAAGGAAAGAGCCUAAGAGGAUGCACUGUCUUCACAAGCUGCUACUCCUUCCCAGCAUGUUUUUCCCCUGAAGUGAGCUCAGUGGGAGACACAAUAAAUUACUGUUGAACUGGAAAGGCCACCCCUGCUUGGGGAAGCCCUCUGGCCCAACUAGAACCACAAGGAAGGGAGCUUGCUUGUCUAGCAAGAAUCCCCAAAGACUGUAGGAGAGUCCUUCAGCCUGCCCAGGUUGGGAGAGCCCCAGGGAGAACAGAGGGCCAGCUGGGGGCCAACGCACUGGCCACUGCCUCCGGCAGUGCAAAGAGGAAGGCUUUGGAGAGACCGCUGAGCCUGAUUCCUGACAUUCCCCUCUUGAGUUCGCUUUUCCCCAGUGACUGUGAGCCUCACUGUCUUUAUAAAACACAGGGCCGGCAGCAUCUUUCUUGUGGGAGUAGGGCUGCAAGAAUCCCAAGGGACCAAGUAUUGCAGAGCCCAGGAGAGGCUCAAGACUUGUUUGCCCCUCUGAAGGUCCAGGUCCCCACUUUGGAGCAUGAGGGCAGAGGAGAUUCCUGGAAGGUGAAGGCAGGAUGGGAC
ensembl:lncRNA